UUCAGAAACAAAGCAAGCUUGUUUGACCCUGGCAAACACUGUACUACUUUAUAUACUUUCAGAAAUUGAUACAUUGUCUCAUCUAGAGACAUACUGACCAAUGGUAGAGUCCUGUUUCUUCCGACGUACGUUUACGUCGUGUAUAGAAAGGUCCCUAUAGAAACGUGUGUGGGUAAAGUAAACUGUCACUUUUUUUUUUUUUACCCUUAGGUUUUCUUUUACGCAUGCUACCGAAUACCGAUAAGGUGACACGCCGUCCUAUUCCGUUAUUAUUCUUUUUUAAAUCCCCGUUAUAUGUAACAGUUUGACAUUUGAAUAUCUGUUCUGUAAAAAUCUCAAGUUUGGCGAAAUAACUGGAUUUUCAAUUCGUUGCCAGUUAUUGUAUUUGAUAGAAUAUCUGUCAAGUUGUGAUUCACAGUAGAAGUGACUGGGUUUGGGUAGUCAUGUCCGCAGAAAUGGACAAAGCAACUGAUGCAAGCGGGGGCGAUGAAGAAGAAUGGUUAUAUGGAGAUGAGAGUGAGGAGAAGGCAGAGGAAGAGGCACCUAAUAGGUAAGUGACAGGUAAAACACCAACUGUUAAACUGUCUGUUUUACAUAGCAGACCUGGCUGUCUGUCCUAUUCUGUCCUCAAUUUACCACUUGCCUAGAUCUCAAAUAUGUACUGAGCAUUCCUGCAAACCAGACUACACUGUCAAAUGGUUCCUUUUGUAAAAUACGUAUGCCCACAUAAAUUAGGUUUGUAUAUUCUUGGAGCAUAAUACAAAUGUUGGACACACAUGAUUUAUUUAUACCCAUCUUACGCACUUUUUUGUGGCACUUACACAAAUGACACCUGUUCAGCUUUCUACACAAAUAUACUAGUCACGUGUCUAUGUUAUGCUUUUUGAGAUUCACAACGUAUAGCCACACUACUCACUCUUAGUCAGUUUGUCCUGGUUCUGCAAAUCUGUUUUAUUACAUUGUCCAGCAUCAUCUCACCUGUUUGCACUAAUGAUUCUUGUGUUCAAACCAUUUUGAUCGUGAGUGAUAAUUUACAACAGUAAGCAGUGAACUGAUUUGAAAUAAGAGGGGCUAGCAGCAGCUUCAUGCCCCAUUAGGACCAAUUUUGCUUUAUUAAUGAAGCGUUCAGAUUGAAUGCACUUUUCACUGCUCAAUAAUGACUGAGUGAUAUCAUAAUCGUUGUCUCUGGGU
rnacentral:lncRNA from 1 species